rnacentral:rRNA from 1 species
AUUGAACGCUAGCGGGAGGCUUUACACAUGCAAGUCGAACGAGUAGAGGACGGGUGAGUAAUAUAUCGGAACGUGACCAGUAGCGGGGGAUAACUACUCGAAAGAGUGGCUAAUACCGCAUACUGUUGGAGCGGCCGAUAGCGGAUUAGCUAGUUGGUGGGGUAAAGGCUCACCAAGGCAACGAGCCGUAGCUGGUUUGAGAGGUCGACCAGCCAUGCUUGGACUGAGAAACGGCCCAGACUCCUACGGGCUGCAGCAGUGGGGUAUUUUGGACAAGGGGGGAAACCCUGAUCCAGCCAUCCCGCGUGUAUGAGAAGGCCUUCGGGUUGUAAAGUACUUUUGGCAGAGAAGCGGUAUCUGCAGAAUAAGCACCGGCUAACUACGUGCCAGCCGCCGCGGUAAUAC